AAUGCGGACCUUUUUGAAGUGACGGCCGCGUCAGCCUAUCAGAGGUGGGCUCUGGAAGGCGGGGCGGAAGACUGUAAGAAUGAAACAGAUUGAUGGAGCGAGUAACCAAUGAGAGGCCUGAUUCAGGAGGUCCCGGAGUACCAGAGGACCUGUCCGGGAAGGGAAAUGGGUCUACGUCCAGGUGAAAAUUACAUACAAUGCAAUAUAGAUCUUCAGUGUCCAUUCACAGAGACAAAGGCAUAUGGCGGAGUAACCCAUCUCUAGGAAGGCUCAGAACGUCACCAUCACCGGGGAAGGCUGCCUCAUGCCCACUUCUCAGUCAAAUCCCGCCCAUUUUUCCAGUGUCAACCACUAUUUGUAUUUUUCCCCCCACUCAAAAGUGCCUCACUUUGGACCAUCAAUUACAGGCCAAACUGUCUGUGAUAGGAAGGGCUUUGAAGAAGGACUGAAUGAGGGUCUUGGUUUUUGAAAAACAAAAAUUGAGAUCCACGUCGUGAAAUAAUAUAUGGAGGAAAUCGAAAUCAGUUGUAGGACCAAUCGGCAUUGUCCUCGAAGGACCUGGGAGUGUUCACCCUC